ensembl:lncRNA
AGGGGGUACAGGUUAGUAAUGAGACUAUAUACAGGGGGUACAGGUUAGUAAUGAGACUAUAUACAGGGGGUACAGGUUAGUAAUGAGACUAUAUACAGGGGUACAGGUUAGUAAUGAGACUAUAUACAGGGGGUACAGGUUAGUAAUGAGACUAUAUACAGGGGGUACAGGUUAGUAAUGAGACUAUAUACAGGGGUUACAGGUUAGUAAUGAGACUAUAUACAGGGGUACAGGUUAGUAAUGAGACUAUAUACAGGGGUACAGGUUAGUAAUGAGACUAUAUACAGGGGGUACAGGUUAGUAAUGAGACUAUAUACAGGGGGUACAGGUUAGUAAUGAGACUAUAUACAGGGGGUACCGGUUAGUAAUGAGACUAUAUACAGGGGGUACAGGUUAGUAAUGAGACUAUAUACAGGGGGUACCGGUACCGAGUCAAUGUGUGGGGUUACAGGUUAGUAAUGAGACUAUAUACAGGGGGUACCGGUACCGAGUCAAUGUGCGGGGCUACAGGUUAGUAAUGAGGCUAUAUACAGGGGGGUACCGGUACCGAGUCAAUGUGCGGGGGUACAGGUUAGUAAUGAGACUAUAUACAGGGGGUACCGGUACCGAAUCAAUGUGCGGGGGUACAGGUUAGUAAUGAGACUAUAUACAGGGGGUACCGGUACCGAGUCAAUGUGUGGGGGUACAGGUUAGUAAUGAGACUAUAUACAGGGGGUACCGGUACCGAGUCAAUGUGCGGGGGUACAGGUUAGUAAUGAGACUAUAUACAGGGGGUACCGGUACCGAGUCAAUGUGCGGGGGUACAGGUUAGUAAUGAGACUGUAUACAGGGGGUACCGGUACCGAGUCAAUGUGCGGGGGUACAGGUUAGUAAUGAGACUAUAUACAGGGGGUACCGGUACCGAGUCAAUGUGCGGGGGUACAGGUUAGUAAUGAGACUAUAUACAGGGGGUACCGGUACCGAGUCAAUGUGCGGGGGUACAGGUUAGUAAUGAGACUAUAUACAGGGGGUACCGGUACCGAGUCAAUGUGCGGGGGUACAGGUUAGUAAUGAGACUAUAUACAGGGGG